rnacentral:rRNA from 1 species
GAUGAACGCUGGCGGCGUGCCUAAUACAUGCAAGUCGAGCGAACAGAUGAGAAGCUUGCUUCUCUGAUGUUAGCGGCGGACGGGUGAGUAACACGUGGGUAACCUACCUAUAAGACUGGGAUAACUCCGGGAAACCGGGGCUAAUACCGGAUAAUAUUUUGAACCGCAUGGUUCAAUAGUGAAAGACGGUUUCGGCUGUCACUUAUAGAUGGACCCGCGCCGUAUUAGCUGGUUGGUAAGGUAACGGCUUACCAAGGCGGCGAUACGUAGCCGACCUGAGAGGGGGAUCGGCCACACUGGAACUGAGACACGGUACAGACUCCUGCGGGAGGCAGCAGUAGGGAAUCUUCCGCAAGGGGCGAAAGCCUGACGGAGCAACGCCGCGUGAGUGAUGAAGGUCUUCGGAUCGUAAAACUCUGUUGUUAGGGAAGAACAAAUUUGUUAGUAACUGAACAAGUCUUGACGGUACCUAACCAGAAAGCCACGGCUAACUACGUGCCAGCCGCCGCCGUAA